GUAACAAUAAAUUCAAUAACAAAUUCAGCAAUUUCAAUAAAUUCAGCAAUAGCAAAAUCAAAAUAUAAUCAACAGCAACAUUUCCAAAAUAAAUUAAAAAAUUCUAAAUUUAACAACAAUUCAGUAAUCAUCAACCACAACUUCAGAUCUAAAAUCAGGAACAAAAGAAAUUAAAAAAAGAGAAAUGAUGUUUAAUGUUCUUCAAAAAUUAAAAAAAAUGAAGAACAAAAAGAGGAAGAAGGAAGUGACGGUGCAGAAACCUACUGCCAUCAACCUCUGGUCACCGCCACCCUCAGUGCGCCGGUUCUAUCCUCCUUCUUCAUCCCCUUCUUUUCUUCUUCCUCUUCCUUCCAACUGUCACCCACUGUCGUCAUCUGUCGAAAGCCAACAGCAACUACAAGCGCCGCCUCUCCCUUCCCAGAACAUGUCUCAGCACCGCUAUGUUGGGGGAUUCGAAGUUGAAGACAACGAACUCGAAGACGCUUCUAUCGAUCCAACCACUCUCCACCUACCAUUUUCGAUUUCUGGACGAGGAUGAGUUCGAAGGCCUCCCCAUCGAACAUCCCUCUUACGAUCUCAAUGUUUUCCACUCCGAUUCCACUUCCCCUCUCAC
rnacentral:lncRNA from 1 species